AUGACCCCUCGGCCCCGUCCGUUGCAUCACCAGCAUAUACUACUGCCGCAGCUGCUGACUUCUCCUAGCCGGCCGGCCAUGACUGCUCCCUUACUCACGCUUGUACUCCUCCUGCUGACCUCGUCGGUGGCCGUGGCGUGCGCCAGUGCCGAUCCCAAGGGCGACCUCAAGCGCAUCCGCGUGUACAUGCACGAAACCAUGUCGGGGCCGAACGCGACACUGCUGACGUCAGUGCAGUCCCCGCUGGGCGGCAGCGCAACGUUCGGGCAGAUCGGCGUGCUGGACAACGAGCUGCGGGACGGACUGCACCGGGGUAGCUCGUCGCCGCUGGGCCGGUUCCAGGGCUUGUUUGCCAUGACUGGGCUGGCGAACACGCCGGGCCUUCUGUCAGCGGUGGACGUCGUGUUCACGGGCGGGAAGUACCAAGGGAGCACGCUGGCCAUGCUGGGCACGAUACAGGACUUGCGGGCCUCCGUCGAGCGCACAGUCGUCGGCGGGACCGGCGCGUUUCGGAUGGCGCGGGGUUACAGCUCCAUGGUUUACAUUCCCGAGGCGAGCACGGCGAACAACGAUGUCUACAGGAUCGACUUCUUUGUUGAUGUUUAG
rnacentral:rRNA from 1 species